rnacentral:miRNA from 1 species
UUUGAUAGUGUUGUCAGCAGUGCUUUAGCAGCACGUAAAUAUUGGUGUUAAAUUCUAAGUUAUCUCCAGUAUUGACUGUGCUGCUGAAGUAAGGUUGGCUAUGAUCUACA